CGGUCUGAAGUAUACCAUUGCCAGGACGGCUCCACUAUGAUCAUCGCAAGACACAGUCGUGCAGUGCGUUGAUUCACUCGUGAAGAGGGCGUUUACCACCACAUUGCCUCGUUGCUUCUGCUAAGAUCAUCUACCUGGAGCUUGUGUUUGUCUGGAUGGUUUCAUCGUGAGCAUCGAAGUUAUCAUUGGUGGAUUUAAGACGUGUUGUGGUGAUGAAGAUGUGCUGUUGGACCCCACCGACCUACAGCUGCUGAUCAGCUUCGGCUUAGACUCUAUCCUUUUCUGAACGGUUUCAGCAUGACUGUUUCAUGGUCGAGUGGGGCAUUUGGGAUUAGGCUUCUCGAGAUAACAGCUGUUGCCACCAGAAUGCCUUGCUGCUGCUUCUCAGAAGUGGGCGUGGCCUUCUAUAUCUGCGAGUUCGACUGGCACUUUACCCUUCUCUGAAAGGUUCCAGGAGGAUCAUUUCACAGUCCAGUGGAACCAUUUAGUAUCACAUUUCUCGAGGAAGGUGCUGUUGCCACAAUAAUGCCUUGCCGGGGCUUCUCAGGUGAGCCUUCGUUUAAAAAAUAUUUUG
rnacentral:lncRNA from 1 species